rnacentral:rRNA from 1 species
UACGAAGGGGGCUAGCGUUGUUCGGAAUUACUGGGCGUAAAGCGCACGUAGGCUGAUUGUUAAGUCAGGGGUGAAAUCCCGGAGCUCAACUCCGGAACUGGCUUUGAUACUGGCAAUCUCGAGUCCGGAAGAGGUUAGUGGAAUUCUCAGUGUAGAGGUGAGAUUCGUAGAUAUUGAGAAGAACACCAGUGGCGAAGGCGGCUGACUAGUCCGGUACUGUCGCUGAGGUGCGAAAGCGUGGGGAGCAAACAGG